rnacentral:rRNA from 1 species
UACAGAGGGUGCGAGCGUUAAUCGGAAUUACUGGGCGUAAAGAGCGCGUAGGCGGUCGUGUAAGUCAGAUGUGAAAGACCUUGGCUCAACCAAGGAACUGCAUUUGAUACUGCAUAACUAGAGUAUGGUAGAGGAAAGUGGAAUUUCCGGUGUAGCGGUGAAAUGCGUAGAUACCGGAAGGAACACCAGUGGCGAAGGCGGCUUUCUGGACCAAUACUGACGCUGAGGCGCGAAAGCGUGGGGAGCAAAC